rnacentral:rRNA from 1 species
AAACUUGAGAGUUUGAUCCUGGCUCAGAACGAACGCUGGCGGCAUGCCUAACACAUGCAAGUCGAACGAAGGCUUCGGCCUUAGUGGCGCACGGGUGCGUAACGCGUGGGAAUCUGCCCUUGGGUUCGGAAUAACUCAGAGAAAUUUGAGCUAAUACCGGAUGAUGUCGCAAGACCAAAGAUUUAUCGCCCAAGGAUGAGCCCGCGUAGGAUUAGGUAGUUGGUGAGGUAAAGGCUCACCAAGCCGACGAUCCUUAGCUGGUCUGAGAGGAUGAUCAGCCACACUGGGACUG